rnacentral:lncRNA from 1 species
ACAGGAGCAAGCCAGAGCCAAAACGCAAACGCCCCCUGCGUCGCCCGCACCUCAGCCAACCGAGGAGAGGCUGCCCUCGAGCCCCAUCUAUGAGGAUGCGGCUUCCUUCAAGGCAGAGCUGAGCUACAGAGGCCCUGUGAGUGGGACGGAGCCGGAGCCCGUGUACAGCAUGGAGGCCGCUGACUACCGAGAGGCCAGCAGCCAGCAGGGCCUGGCCUAUGCCACAGAGGCUGUCUAUGAAAGCGCAGAGGCCCCGGGCCACUAUCCCGCAGAGGACAGCACCUACGAUGAGUACGAGAAUGAUCUGGGGAUCACAGCCGUCGCCCUGUACGACUACCAGGCUGCCACCACCUGGUCCACAAAGUCACCACCACCCCUCUGCAGUUGACAAGC